rnacentral:rRNA from 1 species
GAUGAACGCUGGCGGCGUGCCUAAUACAUGCAAGUCGAACGAACGGGCGAGCAGUUUCUUGCUCUGAUCGUAGCCGCGGACGGGUGAGUGACGAGUAGAUAACCUACCUAUAAGCCUCAGAUAACUUCUGAAACCCGGAGCCAAUGCCGGAUUAUAUUUUGAACCGCAUGGUUCAACAUUGGAUGGCGAUCUUGCUUUUACUUAUAGAUGGUUACGCGCUGCAUUAGCUACUUGGUAAGGUAACGGCUUACUACGGCAACGAUGGAUAGCCGACCUCAGAGUGUGAGCGUCCACACUGGCACUGAGACACGGUCCAGACUCCUACGGGAGGCAGCAGUAGGGGAUCUGCCGAAUUGAGCGUGAGCGUGACGGAGCAGCAGCGCGGGAGUGAUGAAGGUCUCCGGAUCGUAGUACUCUGUUACUAGGGAAGGACAUAUGUGUAAGUAACUGUGCACAUCUUGACGGUACUGGAAGAAGAAGCCACGGCUAACUACGUG